CCUACGUGGCUGCAGUGGGGAAUAUUGGACAAUGGGCGAAAGCCUGAUCCAGCCAUGCCGCGUGUGUGAAGAAGGCCUUCGGGUUGUAAAGCACUUUCAGUGGGGAAGAAAGCCUUGGGGCUAAUACCCUCGAGGAAGGACAUCACCCACAGAAGAAGCACCGGCUAACUCCGUGCCAGCAGCCGCGGUAAUACGGAGGGUGCGAGCGUUAAUCGGAAUUACUGGGCGUAAAGCGCGCGUAGGCGGUCUGAUAAGCCGGUUGUGAAAGCCCCGGGCUCAACCUGGGAACGGCAUCCGGAACUGUCAGGCUAGAGUGCAGGAGAGGAAGGUAGAAUUCCCGGUGUAGCGGUGAAAUGCGUAGAGAUCGGGAGGAAUACCAGUGGCGAAGGCGGCCUUCUGGACUGACACUGACGCUGAGGUGCGAAAGCGUGGGUAGCAAACAGGAUUAGAUACCCCAGUAGUC
rnacentral:rRNA from 1 species